rnacentral:lncRNA from 1 species
CAUUUUAGUACUGAAUACGUGCUUCACACACACGUAUUAGCGGGAAUUGUGGUUAACUUUAUUUCUUCAAUUGUACACCUUAAUUUUCUAGAUCCCCUUCCGAUAUCCCGUGAAUUAUUUCAGAAUUUAAUUCUGAUUUUCGACUGUGUUUCUUAAAGUUCUUAUUUACCCCAUCUUUUUCACCAUCUUUUGGAAGUAUACAGCUCAUCAUGAAACGCUGCAUUUCAGACAGCAUUUUUUUAUCGCUCUGAAAUGAGCGCGAAGUUCUGUUGUUACCGUUGCUACUCUGUUAACUUUAUGUUGACAUUUAUCAAGAUCAAAUUCUUAUUGACAACACAAAAAGUGACCUUAGUUUUUUACAAUUUACUACAAUUAAACUUAAUUUUUUCUCAUAAAUAAAUACUGUUUAGUAGCUGAGAUAGUAGGCUACAAUCCUAUAUAGUUAUUAUGUUAAAUUUUUCAGUUUUGUUUUCAAGAGAUACAAAAAACCAAAAAGUGUCUGAAUUGACCCCACUCUCCCCUACUAGUAAUUUCUAUUCCAUGAUCUUGGGAUUUGUUGAGCAUUCGCAGCCUAAUUGUUCAAGUGUCCUGUCUAAGAAAAGCAUUUGUCUGUUCAAACAGAACUUCAUUUCAUUUCUGCAUUUAUCACUGUUUAAGUUACAUCUGGUGACGGAUAUUAACAUGGUUGGUGGCAGAGGACGUGCAAGUAUCUUAUCUGAUCUUAUCUGAUCUUCAGGGUAAAAAAAAAAGAAAAAAAGUAUCUGAUCGGUUUGUAGUUGACCACCUAUCGGUAUCUGAUCUUCAGGCCCCCCCAAAAAAGAUCCGAAACACUGAUAUCAAUACCGAUGCAAAUUUGAUGGUAAUGGUGAAAUGUAAUAAUGAAAAUAUUACUUAGUGGACACAAAU